AAAGACAUUGCCAGUGCUGUCACAUACGUGCUCAGCGCCCCGCCUCAUGUUCAGGUUGGCGACAUUAACUUUGAAGCUGUGUAGCUGGUAACACAGUGCAGGCACACAAUCCAGCCUCCACAACAAAGUGGUGUGAAACUCCUGACUGCUCAACACUGCUCUCCAUUUAUCCUCUGCUAAGAAAAAAUAAAUAAAAACCACCAACCAUUACUGAGCACACUCCUACGUGAUCCUAAAAUGAUAAAAAGCCAAGUCAAAGUUGAAUUUUUCAUCAAACAGAACUGUCAAAAUGACUGUGAGAAAAUUACCAAAAUAAAUUUUUCUAAUGCGAAUGAAGAAAGACUUGAGAAUGUUUUUGUUCAAUUCAGAUGCACACUGACCUAAACUGAAAUUGAACUCAACAGAAUUAACAAUAAACUGUUCUUAUUAACUAUG